UACGUAGGUGGCAAGCGUUGUCCGGAAUUACUGGGUGUAAAGCGCGCGUAGGCGGAUCGCUAAGUCAGGGGUGAAAUCCCAAGGCUCAACCUUGGAACUGCCUUUGAUACUGACGAUCUGGAGAUCGGGAGAGGUGAGUGGAAUUCCGAGUGUAGAGGUGAAAUUCGUAGAUAUUCGGAGGAACACCAGAAGCGAAGGCGGCUCACUGGCCCGAUACUGACGCUGAGGCGCGAAAGCGUGGGGAGCAAACAGG
rnacentral:rRNA from 1 species